rnacentral:rRNA from 1 species
UACGUAGGUGGCAAGCGUUGUCCGGAUUUACCGGGCGUAAAGAGCGCGCAGGCGGUCGUUCAAGUCGCGUGUGAAAGCCCCCGGCUCAACUGGGGAGGGUCACGCGAUACUGAUCGACUCGAAGGCAGGAGAGGGAAGUGGAAUUCCCGGUGUAGUGGUGAAAUGCGUAGAUAUCGGGAGGAACACCAGUGGCGAAGGCGACUUCCCGGCCUGUUCUUGACGCUGAGGCGCGAAAGCUAGGGGAGCAAACGGG